GCAUCGGUGGCUUAGUGGUAGAAUGCUCGCCUGCCACGCGGGCGGCCCAGGUUCGAUUCCAGGCCUAUGCU